CCUCCUCAUUCCGCCGCCGCCGCCACUCCUCUUGUCUCCCCUUCCUCGGGAUCUAAGCCUGCAACCAGCCUCUCUCCCUUCCUCGUUUUCAGCGUUAGACCAACCAGAGCCUGCUCCCGAUCCAGAUCCUCUCUCGCCCUCCGACCACCUCCCUCGCCUUGCGCGUCCAUCUAAUCGAGCUCGCUUGUCUCCCCAACCUCUGGCACGGCUGUGCCGUAAGCAGCAACAACAACUCCACCGGAGCUCCACCCCACGACCUCUUCGGGCACCCACGCCUGCCGCCAGCGAAGGGCACGGUCAGCCAUGGAUGUCGUGCCGCCCGCCCAAGCUUCCUCCUUCGCUGGUCGUCUCCAAACCUGUUUGUCUCGAGCCCCAUCGAACCUGCAGCCUCCGUUUGGAACACCGGCAUCCCGUCCCGGACCUCAUCAUCGCUGCGCACUUGCCCGGACCUAGCCUUGACCCAUCGCCCGGGGUCGUUUCCCCACCGAACGACCACCAGGCCAGCCCUCGCGCCCCUCUCCUUCGUCUCCCUCUGUGCUAAUCUCUCUCUCCUGGAGCUCUCAUAUCUCUUCCUCUACUUCUUCUCGCAGGAACCGGGGAAGCCCCAGCUCUCGCUGCCGCCCUACUCUGUUUGUCGUCGUCUUCGUCGAUCCGACGAGGCCCUGCAUCUCCGGCCUCGUCCCUGCCUUCAGGUCGCCGUCCAGCACCCGGAUCAGCACCUUCCUCCGCUGCUGCCUCACCACUAUCCAUCAGUGCCGCCACACCCCUGCUUCCUCUGCAUCGAAGACGAGCGCCUCGCUCGCGUUGACCGUCCCUGCCUCGCUAACCCGCUCGCCCGCCAGCCGCAGCGACCGCGCCCUGGGCCUUAAGCCGGGAGCCGCCCAGCAACCGGCCCAGCUCCCGUCUCCACCAACCUGGGCUUGACCCAUGUUCUGAUUACAUUGCGAUUGUGAGGAUCCGUUCGACUACAUUGGUUCGUCUACUUCAUGGACUAGAUCUUCUUUCUAGCGGGAUCUCAGGCAAGAUGACCGUCACCUUGGGUCUCACUACUAUCUUUGCUAUGCUAGUUGUCUCGAUGCUAUCGCUAUGUCGCGCUACCUACCACUUGUUUAUCAAGCCUCCCAAAUUGCCAUGAUAGCCUCUAAAUUUUUUCACCCUUCCUAGAAAAUCGUUGUUUGGCUAUGUUAUCGCUUUGCUCAACCCCUCUUAUAUCGUUGCUAGUUGCAGGUGCAAUUGCAGUUUGUUCCAUGUUGGGACAUGGAUAUGUUGGAAUAUCACAAUAUCUCUUAUU